rnacentral:lncRNA from 1 species
GUCACUAAAGGGUAUGCAAAGUAUGUUAAAUAAGGUGUAAGGUUAAGAUCUUGACCGCUGAUGAAUAUAUAUGAAUCUUUAUCAAAACCUAGUCUACCUUGUCUUUGUUUUAGUACUCCACCCGCUCCAUUCCAAUCUUUUUUCUCUAACUACCGAACAUACAUAUUCCGUUCGGCUGAAGCAAUUCUAAGACUCUUUAAUGCUCCUUGGUUCGGCUAAAAGAAAUUGGAGGCUUCAAGGAACUGAAUUUGCAGCUGGAGUAAAGUCUAGAAUUGGCAUUGAAGAAGCUACACUCAUGUAUUAUUAAACUCAAAAUCUGCAGCAAAUAGAAGGUAAGUAUGAGUUUCAUAAGAAUUUAUAACAAUUGGUUAGUUUAUAUGCGGUACAACAUGAAUUGUGGCAGUGAUAUCUAUGAAUUAGCAAAAAGGAGACCAGUUAUUGUUGUGCGGAGUAAUAAGGAAGGAGAUUAUGGCUUAAAGCAUAUAUAAAUGCUAAAGAAAUCUGUAUAAAAUUAAUGCUCAUUGCGUGUUUGAUUUUUUGUCUCUAAGAGCUGUUUGGUUUAAAAAGAGAGAAUUGAACAAGGCUGUAUUAAAGAAAGCUAUGUAUAUGUAUAUUGAAGUAAUUUAAAUAGAUUGGGCAAGAUAAUUAGAAUCUAAAACCUGUUUUGAAGAAAUUGGUUAAUUCUAGCUCAGUUGAAAAAACUGAUUGAUGGGCCAGUUUUAAGGCCAUGUAAAACGAGUCUAGG